ACCUGGCUGGCUCAGUUGGAAGAGCAUGUGACUCUAGAUCUCAGGGUUGUGAGUUUGAGCCCCAUGUUGGGUG
rnacentral:tRNA from 1 species